UGCUAAUGAUUAUGAAAAUUAUCUUAAUUUCUUUUCGUAGCUAAUAUCGCACCCGAGGCAUCCACGAGGAAAGGAAAAGAAAAAGUGGACGAGGAAUAGACACGGGAAUUACGGUUGUAGAAGUCAAGCACUGAACCAGCAUUCAAAGCCAGACCCGACUUCAGCAAACUUUGGUGAUGUAUAUUUUCUUUAGUAAUGUGGCAUGUACAUAGGAUGUGUAUAAAGGUUAUUAUGUUUUUAAUAUAAAUGGUUAGAAAUGUUAGUAUUAUAAGUUUAUGAAUUAUAAUGAAAGAAGUUUAUCUAUUUCUAUUUAA